UUGCAUAUAAAAAAUAUUUAUUAAAAAAGUAUAGUUACAGUGUUUUAUUUUUGAGUAUAUAUUUUCUAGAACAUAUUUACAAAGUACUGCUAUAUAUUUAUAUAAUAUGGUUCACUUAAAAAACUCACAAUUUAAAUGAAUUAAAUACAAAUACAAGUAUUUCACUAUAAGGUUUGGAAAUGAAGGUACCACACAGUAUACUAAAAAGUAUUAUGUCUUCUAAGGAGAACUGCACUUAAGUUUGUGCAUCAUUUGUAGUUUAAGCUUGAUUGAACCUUUCAUUGGUAGCUUUAG